UACGUAGGGGCCUAGCGUUGUCCGGAAUCAUUGGGCGUAAAGCGCGUGUAGGCGGUUCGGUAAGCCCGCUGUGAAAGUCGGGGGCUCAACCCUCGAAUGCCGGUGGAUACUGUCGGACUAGAGUACGGAAGAGGCGAGUGGAAUUCCUGGUGUAGCGGUGAAAUGCGCAGAUAUCAGGAGGAACACCAAUUGCGAAGGCAGCUCGCUGGGACGUUACUGACGCUGAGACGCGAAAGCGUGGGGAGCGAACAGG
rnacentral:rRNA from 1 species